ACGUCAUGUGCAUGGAGAGAAACUGUUGACGAAACUUAUAAGCAGGUUUGGUUUGGCUGAUUUAAAUGAAAAUCAGCAAAUAAUAUUUGACUUCAUUUUAUUGUCGAAUUAACUGACGAUAGAACCACUCAUUUCAGCUCUACAUGGAAGUCAUUGUAACAUUUUAUCACAUUAUAUCAAGUUGCUGUGAUUCUGAAGACCCAAAUAUAGACUUCAAGUGCUCUUUUGACGUAAGCACGAAGAAAAGAUACGGGUGAAAAUCGAAUUGAUUAUUUUAUUUAAAUCCACUUAUUAAUUCUGAAAAUUGGAUAUAGAUCAAGACAUUCAAAUAUUCACUCAUUCAUCAUCUACAAAUUGCUUAUUAAUCAGUGUGAUGUUUUAUAAAAGGGAAUCGUGUCGCAAAAGGGAUCCUCCCUACCACCGAACACGGAAGCCCGAUUCCCUCCCAUUGGAUCCCCGUCACCUCACUCCGGAAGUUUUGAUCUUGUCAUUUGAUUAGGGACUUUCCGUUUUGAAUUUUCCACAGAGUUGUGAUUUUACUUUUUAUGUAGGAAAUUUUUAUUUAAUCUUCGCCGUAUUUUCUUAUAUUUUUAAAUUCACUAUGUUUAAUCAUGAUUAAAGCAUAGUGCCAAUAUUCGUAUGUAUUGGUUUCUUUUUAAGUUUACAACCAUGUAAUUCUAGGUUCUGCUUUAUCUUCCGGUAAAAAAUAGGGGGGGGGAUAGGUUCUUUGUUAAAAUAAAAUAUUAAAAAAAAGGUAGCACAAACAACAGUCCUCAAAAACUUUACACGGA
rnacentral:lncRNA from 1 species